rnacentral:rRNA from 1 species
CCCAGACUCCUACGGGAGGCAGCAGUGGGGGGUAUUGCACAAUGGGGGGAACCCUGAUGCAGCGACGCCGCGUGGGUGAAGGAGCGUUUCGGCGCGUAAAGCCCUAUCGGCAGGGAAGAAGGAGGACGGUACCUGACUAAGAAGCCCCGGCUAACUACGUGCCAGCAGCCGCGGUAAUACGUAGGGGGCAAGCGUUAUCCGGAUUUACUGGGUGUAAAGGGGGCGCAGACGGCAGCGCAAGCCAGGAGUGAAAGCCCGGGGCCCAACCCCGGGACUGCUCUUGGAACUGCGCGGCUGGAGUGCAGGAGGGGCAGGCGGAAUUCCUGGUGUAGCGGUGAAAUGCGUAGAUAUCAGGAGGAACACCGAUGGCGAAGGCGGCCUGCUGGACUGCGACUGACGUUGAGGCCCGAAAGCGUGGGGAGCAAACAGGAUUAGAUACCCGUGUA